rnacentral:rRNA from 1 species
AAGUCGAGGGGCAGCGGGAAUUGAGCUUGCUCAAUUUGCCGGCGACCGGCGCACGGGUGCGUAACGCGUAUCCAACCUCCCGCUUACUCAGGAAUAGCCUUUCGAAAGAAAGAUUAAUGCCUGAUGGUAUCUUAAGCACACAUGUAAUUAAGAUUAAAGAUUUAUCGGUAAGCGAUGGGGAUGCGUUCCAUUAGGCAGUUGGCGGGGUAACGGCCCACCAAACCUACGAUGGAUAGGGGUUCUGAGAGGAAGGUCCCCACAUUGGAACUGAGACACGGUCCAAACUCC